rnacentral:rRNA from 1 species
CUACGGGAUGCUGCAGUGGGGAAUAUUGCACAAUGGGCGAAAGCCUGAUGCAGCGACGCCGCGUGAGGGAUGAAGGCCUUCGGGUUGUAAACCUCUUUCAGGAGGGAAGAAGCGAAAGUGACGGUACCUCCAGAAGAAGACCCGGCCAACUACGUGCCAGCAGCCGCGGUAAUACGUAGGGGUCAAGCGUUGUCCGGAUUCAUUGGGCGUAAAGAGCUCGUAGGCGGCUCAGUAAGUCGGUCGGGAAAGCCCGGGGCUCAACCCCGGGACGCCGAUCGAAACUGCUGUGGCUAGGGUUCGGUAGAGGAGAGUGGAAUUCCCGGUGUAGCGGUGAAAUGCGCAGAUAUCGGGAGGAACACCAGUAGCGAAGGCGGCUCUCUGGGCCGACACCGACGCUGAGGAGCGAAAGCUAGGGGAGCAAACAGGAUUAGAUACCCGAGUAGUC